UCUCACUCUCAAUCAAGCAAAGGAAAGAAAAGCUCAUCAAACCCUCUAAGAACCUCCCUCAAAUCCGUUCGUCUUUAGCUCUUGUGUCAACUCCUUAAUUUAAAUUAAUCGUCACUGUCAGCAUCAUCAUCAACAUCAUCAUCCUUGACAACUGCCUUGUUUGCCUCACCCUCUUUGGAUAAAUUUUAGUGAUAGUUAAUUAAUAUAUAAUAAUGGCAGUGAUUGGAUGACAAUGACAUAAGAU
rnacentral:lncRNA from 1 species